rnacentral:rRNA from 1 species
UACGUAGGGUGCAAGCGUUGUCCGGAAUUAUUGGGCGUAAAGAGCUCGUAGGCGGUUUGUCACGUCGGCUGUGAAAACCCGAGGCUCAACCUCGGGCCUGCAGUCGAUACGGGCAGACUAGAGUAUGGCAGGGGAGACUGGAAUUCCUGGUGUAGCGGUGAAAUGCGCAGAUAUCAGGAGGAACACCGGUGGCGAAGGCGGGUCUCUGGGCCACUACUGACGCUGAGAAGCGAAAGCAUGGGGAGCGAACAGG